UACGUAGGGGGCAAGCGUUGUCCGGAAUCAUUGGGCGUAAAGCGCGUGUAGGCGGUCCGAUUAGUCGGCUGUGAAAGUCAAGGGCUCAACCCUUGAAUGCCGGUCGAUACUGUCGGACUAGAGUCCGGAAGAGGCAAGUGGAAUUCCCGGUGUAGCGGUGAAAUGCGCAGAUAUCGGGAGGAACACCGGUGGCGAAGGCGGGUCACUGGCCCGGUACUGACGCUGAGGUGCGAAAGCGUGGGGAGCAAACAGG
rnacentral:rRNA from 1 species